rnacentral:rRNA from 1 species
GACGAACGCUGGCGGCGUGCCUAAUACAUGCAAGUAGAACGCAGUUGCGAACGGGUGAGUAACGCGUAGGUAACUGCCUGGUAGCGGGGGAUAACUAUUGGAAACGAUAGCUAAUACCGCAUACUACCAGAUGGACCUGCGUUGUAUUAGCUAGUUGGUGAGGUAACGGCUCCCCAAGGCAACGGUACAUAGCCGGGCUGAGGAGGAGGUCAGCCACACUGGGACUGGGACACGGGCCCGAAUCCUACGGGAGGCAGCAGUAGGGAAACUUCGGCAAUGGGGGGAACCCUGGCCGAGCAACGCCGCGUGGGAGGAGAAGGUUUUCGGGGCGGAAAGCUCUGUUGUUAAGGAAGCGGUACUUGACCAAGAAGGGACGGCUAACUACGUGCCAGCAGCCGCGGUAAUUC